rnacentral:rRNA from 1 species
AACGAACGCUGGCGGCAUGCCUAACACAUGCAAGUCGAACGAGACCUUCGGGUCUAGUGGCGCACGGGUGCGUAACGCGUGGGAACCUGCCCUUAGGUUCGGAAUAACUCCCCGAAAGGGGUGCUAAUACCGGAUAAGGUCUUCGGACCAAAGAUUUAUCGCCUUUGGAUGGGCCCGCGUUGGAUUAGCUAGUUGGUAGGGUAAAAGCCUACCAAGGCGAGGAUCCAUAGCUGGUGUGAGAGGAUGAUAAGCCACACUGGGACUGAGACACGGCCCAGACUCCUACGGGAGGCAGCAGUGGGGAAUAUUGGACAAUGGGCGAAAGCCUGAUCCAGCAAUGCCGCGUGAGUGAUGAAGGCCUUAGGGUUGUAAAGCUCUUUUACCCGGGAUGAUAAUGACAGUACCGGGAGAAUAAGCACCGGCUAACUCCGUG